rnacentral:rRNA from 1 species
GGCUCAGUAACACCGUAGUUCAACCCUGCCCUGGAAGACGCGGAUAAACCCGGGAAACUGGGGCUAAUCCGUGAUAGAUGACUUCAUCUGGAAGGAGAGGUCGUCCAAAGGGCGGUACGGGUAUGCUCCGUGCUUUUCGCUCCAGGAUGGGACUGCGGCCGAUCAGGCUGUUGGCGGGGUAAUGGCCCACCAAACCUGUAACCGGUACGGGCUUUGAGAGAAGGAGCCCGGAGAUGGACACUGAGACAAGGGUCCAGGCCCUACGGGGCGCAUCAGGCGCGAAAACUUCGCAAUGCGCGAAAGCGUGACGAGGCUAGUCCGAGUGCCUUCCGCUGAGGAGGGCUUUUCUCGGCUGUAAAUAGGCCGGGGAAUAAGGGGAGGGCAAGUCUGGUGUCAGCCGCCGCGGUAAUACCAGCUCCUCGAGUGGUCGGGACGAUUAUUGGGCCUAAAGCACCCGUAGCCGGUUCCGUAAGUCUUCUGUUAAAUCCAGUCGCUCAACGGCUGGCCUGCAGAGGAUACUGCUGGACUAGGAGGCGGGAGAGGCGGACGGUACUCCGCGUGUAGGGGUAAAAUCCCUUGAUCCGCGGAAGACCACCAGUGGCGAAGGCGGUCCGCCAGAACGCGCUCGACGGUGAGGGGUGAAAGCUGGGGGAGCGAACCGGAUUAGAUACCCGGGUAGUCCCAGCCGUAAACGAUGCGAGCUAGAUGAUUCGAUCGCAGUUCGCGAUCGAAGUGUCGCAGGGAAGCCGUUAAGCUCGCCGCCUGGGGAGUACGGUCGCAAGGCUGAAUUGUCGACGAUUCUUUCGUCGGCACAGUUCACUUAAAGGAAAUUGGCCGGGGGAG